GACGAACGCUGGCGGCGUGCCUAAUACAUGCAAGUUGAGCGCUGAAGGUUGGUACUUGUACCAACUGGAUGAGCAGCGAACGGGUGAGUAACGCGUGGGGAAUCUGCCUUUGAGCGGGGGACAACAUUUGGAAACGAAUGCUAAUACCGCAUAAAAACUUUAAACACAAGUUUUAAGUUUGAAAGAUGCAAUUGCAUCACUCAAAGAUGAUCCCGCGUUGUAUUAGCUAGUUGGUGAGGUAAAGGCUCACCAAGGCGAUGAUACAUAGCCGACCUGAGAGGGUGAUCGGCCACAUUGGGACUGAGACACGGCCCAAACUCCUACGGGAGGCAGCAGUAGGGAAUCUUCGGCAAUGGACGAAAGUCUGACCGAGUAACGCCGCGUGAGUGAAGAAGGUUUUCGGAUCGUAAAACUCUGUUGGUAGAGAAGAACGUUGGUGAGAGUGGAAAGCUCAUCAAGUGACGGUAACUACCCAGAAAGGGACGGCUAACUACGUG
rnacentral:rRNA from 1 species